rnacentral:rRNA from 1 species
CGUCAAAUCAUCAUGCCCCUUAUGACCUGGGCUACACACGUGCUACAAUGGGACAUACAACGAGCAGCUAACUAGUGAUAGUGUGCGAAUCUCUUAAAGUGUCUCUCAGUUCGGAUUGCAGGCUGCAACUCGCCUGCAUGAAGCCGGAAUCGCUAGUAAUCGCGGAUCAGCACGCCGCGGUGAAUACGUUCCCGGGCCUU